GCGUUGGUAGUCCAACGGUUAGGAUACCUGCCUUCCAAGCAGGCGACCCGGGUUCGACUCCCGGCUGACGCA
rnacentral:tRNA from 1 species